GCUAAAUGUGAUUUCCUUGUUCGUAACAUUUCACUGCUAAGAGAUUUUUUCACAUUACCCGAUGCACCGCAGUCUGCGCAAGUGUCAUUUCCAGGGAUUUGCAGGAUCUCCUUCAGUGCACGCGUUGCUCUCUCAUUUGCUGACAUUUCAGUGUUCAGGUCGGAUAGUCCUGCGCUUUCAGUGAGAGAGAAGGUGGAGCAGGGGGGGCCACAAAAGAUAAGUAAGGUGUGUCUCCUCGAGCUCAACUGCUACCUAACGGGCCUGGGCGAGUUUGCACAGAUAGCCAGUGUUGAUACCCUUCAGGUGGUCUGUGAGGCGCGUCCUGCCGAAGUCUGGAGCCAAAUCAACGCCACAGCCCCCCAGUGCUCUGUGCUCGGGAAGGUGCGUGAACGGCAGUGAAACUCUACACGAGGAAGUGAAGUGGAGAGGCUGUUCAGACUUGCUUUUCCGCAUAAUUCGAGCUGUCAUUUCAGUGCAAAAUUGCUCCACUCCAUUCACCUCCAGUUCAUCACAUCCAGGCUCAGGUCGAGCUUAUCAGAAGUCCUCACACCACAAAUGUUCAGUUUUCUCUUCAUGCCAUCACCACCACCACCUGUGUCUCGACUCCAUUGGGGUUUUCUAAACCACUUAAGA